rnacentral:tRNA from 1 species
GCCAGGGUAGCAAAGUGGACUAAUGCUCGUGUCUGUAAAACACGCGCCGUAAGGCUUCCCAGGUUCGAAUCCUGGCCCUGGCA